rnacentral:rRNA from 1 species
GACGAACGCUGGCGGCGUGCUUAACACAUGCAAGUCGAACGAAGUGGCGAACGGGUGAGUAAUACGUGGGUAACCUGCCCUCCUUUUUGGGAUAAGCCUUGGAAACGGGGUCUAAUACCGAAUAAAGGGGGAGUGGCUCGCGGCCUAUCAGCUUGUUGGUGGGGUGCUGGCCUACCAAGGCGAUGACGGGUAGCCGGCCUGCGAGGGAGACCGGACACGUGGGGAGGGCGAGACGGCCCAGAGUGCUACGGGUGGCAGAAGUGGGGGAAAGGGCACAAUGGGCGUAAGCCUGAUGCAGCGACGCGGCGUGGGUGAUGAAGGCUUUAGGGUUGUAAACCUGGGUGGCUAUCGAACCGGUAGGUGGAGAAGAAGCGCCGGCUAACUACGUGCCAGCAGCCGCGGUAAUUC